GCUAUUCCAAUUACAGCGGCCCCAAUAGUUAUAGGAAACAAUUUACAAGGUAUACUAAGCACACACAAUAAACAAUACUUGAACAACAGUCAUUAGAUUAUGUCUAAAAGCAGCAUGUCAAUGGAAAGUUCAUUAAAGGGGCAGUACGAUCAAAUUGUUAUUCUCUUAAACCAAAGCUUAAACGAAAAUGCUCGUAAAACUGUAUAAUAACUUG